GAAGCAAAGUCGUGAGGCGGAGCAAAACACAAAACACAGUCUCAGUUCAGAUUGUAGGCUGAAACUCGCCUAUAUGAAGUCGGAAUUGCUAGUAAUCGCGGAUCAGCAUGCCGCGGUGAAUACGUUCCCGGGCCUUGUACACACCGCCCGUCACACCAUGGGAGCCGGUAAUACCCGAAGUCAGUAGUCCAACCUCGUGAGGACGCUGCCGAAGGUAGGAUUGGCGACUGGGGUGAAGUCGUAACAAGGUAUC
rnacentral:rRNA from 1 species